rnacentral:lncRNA from 1 species
GUAUUUAUUUAUAGAAAUAUACCACGAUACGUAAAUGUAGAUGUACACCUAUAUGAAUUAGACUCACUUUGUGAUGUAAGUUUCUAAACGUAUAAAUAAAAUGUGAUUUACGACUAUGGACUCUGGAUCAACUUAUAGAGGGAGAGAAACAAAAGCUACUGGAAACCUCCCCUACUCUCUUUGUAGGUGAUUAUUUUCAAAAUGCUCCGCUUUUCCACCGUUAGCGCGUGCGUCAACGGUAAGAGAGUGCUUCACUGUCUUUCGAUUUCUCUCAACGACCUCAGCAAUGUUGCUGGAUGAUUUCUACAUGUCAUGCUCCCCGACGUCCUUAGGAGAUGCUACGGAGGUGGCUUUCGCUUAAGCAGGGAGAUGAGAAAAUCCGCCAUUGCUGGUGGACGGGAGAUGCUCAGGACGAAGCACGGCGGCGGCUCGGGGACAGUCGUUCAAGCUGCUUAGUUCUAGGGUUUUCUCUUUAACUGGUUUUAUUCCAAAUUCAUUUCUGGUUAUUUCCGGAUUUUUCAUCCAAUUUAAAUGUUGUGUAAACCAUCAAACUUUUUCGGUUAGGGGCGGA